rnacentral:rRNA from 1 species
AAUUGGAGGGCAAGUCUGGUGCCAGCAGCCGCGGUAAUUCCAGCUCCAAUAGCGUAUAUUAAAGUUGUUGCAGUUAAAAAGCUCGUAGUUGAAUUUCGGGAUCAAUAUUUCGGUCAUGCCGUUGGUAUGCACUGUUAUCAUUGAUUUCUCACCUUCUAAAGAACCGUAAUGCCAUUAAUUUGGUGUUACGGGGAAUUAGGACUGUUACCUUGAAAAAAUUAGAGUGUUUAAAGCAGGCUCACGCUUGAAUACAUUAGCAUGGAAUAAUGAAAUAGGACAUCCGAUUCUAUUUUGUUGGUUUCUAGGAUCGAUGUAAUGAUUAAUAGGGAUAGUUGGGGGCAUUAGUAUUCAAUUGUCAGAGGUGAAACUCUUGGAUUUAUUGAAGACUAACUACUGCGAAAGCAUUUGCCAAGGAUGUUUUCAUUAAUCAAGAACGAAAGUUAGGGGAUCGAAGACGAUCAGAUACCGUCGUAGUCUUAACCAUAAACUAUGCCGACUAGGGAUCGGAUGAUGUUAAUUUUUUAAUGACUCAUUCGGCGCCUUACGGGAAACCAAAGUGU